rnacentral:rRNA from 1 species
GACGAACGCUGGCGGCGUGCUUAACACAUGCAAGUCGAGCGGUAAGGCCCCUUCGGGGGUACACGAGCGGCGAACGGGUGAGUAACACGUGAGCAAUCUGCCCUUCACACGGGGAUAACUUCGGGAAACCGGAGCUAAUACCCGAUACGACCACCUCGGGCAUCCGAUGGUGGUGGAAAGCUCCGGCGGUGAAGGAUGAGCUCGCGGCCUAUCAGCUUGUUGGUGAGAUAACGGCCCACCAAGGCAACGACGGGUAGCCGGCCUGAGAGGGUGACCGGCCACACGGGGACUGAGACACGGCCCAGACUCCUACGGGAGGCAGCAGUGGGGAAUAUUGGACAAUGGGCGAAAGCCUGAUCCAGCAACGCCGCGUGAGGGAUGACGGCCUUCGGGUUGUAAACCUCUUUCAGCAGGGACGAAGCGCAAGUGACGGUACCUGCAGAAGAAGCACCGGCCAACUACGUGCCAGCAGCCGCCGCAGUAA